rnacentral:lncRNA from 1 species
CCCAAGUUUAUUUUCACCUCUCUUUUAUACACUCUGUGAGUUAGGUCAUUAAUCAUGACCUUUAUCAAAAACACCUGCUUCCUUGUUUACUAGUUCUUUGGAAAUUCCCCGCCCUCACGGGCCUUCUUGUUUCUCGGGGUUACAGAACGUUCAUCACGUUCCAGGGCAAUCUAAUUCGGCAAGGACGCGGUUCCUCAUAACAGUCUCCUUGCUCUAUACAAUGGAGGGUCAGAUUAAACAUGGAUCCUCUAUGGCUAACACCGCUCUCCACAAGAAAGGAGCCUUUUUUCUCUCUCCCCACAUGAAAGAAAAACUGUACUAUUCCUUUAAAAACUUCGGAAGACUUUGGAAGGUGGAGCUACAACCAGAAGACCACAUCCUGGGUCCCAGGCAAAGAUUCAAACUAGUCCCACCUGAACUGUCUGAAGAACAAGAUCACCAAAAAGGAGAAAGCUACUCAUGUAAGACUCUGGAAAAUUUGAGAUUUCUCUUCAAAAAGCAAGGCUCCAGUGCUGCUACAGAUAAGUAAACAGGAUCUUGCUAAGGCCACGGCUCUCAGACUGACAUACCCCUCUAACAUACAUUCUUUUCUACAGGAAACAUGGAAAUCUGACCUGCUCCUCACAUUUGGACUAACAGUAAAGAUUCUUUCUCUUGUCAAACAGGCAGCUUGAUGGUCAUUAAGUCUUUUCUCAUUGUUUUCUGACAGGUUUUUCUUUCUUCAGCCCAGCCAGCGAGCCACAGAACCCCAAAGUAGUUGGAGAGCACAUAACCCCUAGUAGGUAGGGUUUACAGCCCCUUCCAGCUUGAAGAAGCCAGAGAAGCCAGAGACCGCCAAUCCUUCACCACUGCAUAAAGAAUUAAGGGAUUUAUAUCUCUCAGGGGGAAAUGAUAUACAAGGUAGGAUGUGGCAAAGCUAGCUGGGAAAAUGAGCACGGAACCUGUCAAUGACAAGUUCUAAAUUCCCAGGACUACAUAUCUCUCUCUCUUUUUUUUUUUUUGGUACCAGAGGUCAAACUUGGGUCCUUGAGCUUGUUAGGUGGCACAACCACUGAGCUAAAUCCCUGGCCCCCCAGGACUACAUAUGUAGAACUUCUCACAGGUCCCCACAAGAUGUGGAUGACAUAUAAGGACACAGACACCAUGAGGAGCCCCUAUCAUGGCUCUUCAGGAUAGCCCACUCUAUCUCCCAGACACAGCAUGUACUUUUAUUUUUGCUCUUUUUAUCCUUUUCUCUCUUGUUUAGCCCAAGUUUGCUCUACAGAGCCAACUUUUCCUUUACCCCUUUACCCUUCACUUUUCAAGUAGACUUUUGGCACCAUUUUUGGCUUGUCUUGUCCAAUUCUUUCUUUGAGCCAAGAAGGACCUAGAAUACGUUUAAUUGGUGAGCCAUUUCUGGUUUGGGGAGUUCUUUUGGCUUUGGGGGGUUUUUGGUUGUUUUGUUUUGUUUUGAGGCAGGGUCUCACAGUGUAGUUCGGCCUGGCCAUGGACUCAUUUCACUACAUAGCCCAGGCUGACCUCAAACUCAUGGCAAUCCUCCUGUCUCAGCCUCCCAAGUGCUGGGAUUACAGGCAUGCACCACCAGCCUGGCAACUGGUGAGCCAUUUCUAAAGGAACUACCCAAUAACAACUUGGAACCUCUACCUACCUCAAGGGCUGAUUUUUUACAGUAGUUGUGAUGUGUUAGGUCCCAUGUGGAGUAUUUUAUCACAUCCUUUAAAGCUGGUAAUAAUCCUGUGUUAAGUAGUAUUAUUUUCCUCAUUCUAUAGAUUUGCCACGCUGCAUUGUGAGAUUUCAUCCUCCACCAGAGCAACCACUGCCUCAGCUUGCCUUGGCCUCUGCACACUGCACACUGUGGUGACUGACAAGUCAUACGGAAGCAAAAGAGUCUCUCAAUUGACAGAGAUGAUGAAGAUACUUGAAGUAUUAAUCUGCUAGUGAAGAAUUGUAUUAAAUGCUCUGGAUCCUAGGAAAAGAAGGAUCUAGUCAGUAACAACCAGCACACUGUCUCAAUAUGAAUUUUCAAAGGGCACAACUUUGCUGGUGGGCUGCAAAUGUAGCUCAGUUGUAGUGUGCAUGCUUGGUGUGAAGGAGGUCUGGAGCUGGAUCCCAGCAUUGCAACACAAACAAACUGCUGGUUUAUGAUAUGAGUCUCAGAGAAAUGGAAAAUAGUAAUAUAUAUAUAGUAAUGGUGAGAAAAAUACAUAUCAAUGCUGGAGCACAUGAAAAAAUUACUUAAUGCAAAAAGCAAAAUCUACAAGCAAAACAAAUGUGAAAGUAUAACCAAAAAUAUGGGAGGUCCUGAGUCGUGCAGAACACACCUAAUCAGCCUGCCCGGCAACAAUCCACUGGACUCCCCCCCUCCCCCCGCUCCUCUGUACAGCCACCUGGUGCCACAUUACAAAAACACAGAGGACACUGGACCACUAGACCAUGGUACUGAGUCCCACUCCUCCCGGCCCAGAGGUAGGGGCUUCUGAGCCACCAUCCCACUGCUCCUGGUCCAGAGGAAGGGGCUUCCCGGCCACCAUCCUUCUGGCUGCUCCCAGCCCAGAGGAAAGGGCUUUUGGGCCACCAUUCCUACCACUGCUCCCGGCCCCUGU